AGAUACAUAAGCUCCCUGAUGGCUACUCUGAUAAAGCAAUUGUGGAAAAGUUGAUAAAGACGGCUGGGAAGGUGCUGGCGGAAUGGAAAUUCCCGUGGUGACUAAAUGAGGGUUAGGGUUAAACAUGAUGUGAGAGAGCCCUUAACUAAACAUGUUAGUAUCAUCAGAGGGAAGGAACGACAAGUUUUUGCGGCGAGGUAUGAAAAACUAGCUCGUUUUUGUAAGGCUUGCGGCAAGAUUGGUCAUGAUUUUAAAUAAUGUGGUAUAGGCAUCCACUUAGCAAAUGAUAUGAAGUAUGGAGACUGGUUAUAUGUGGAUUUUUCAGCAAGGCCACGAUCUGAAACUCGGUCUGUACCUGGUUCUAAAGGGGCUGGCCCGGAAGGCAAACCAUCAAGUUUGGUAAAUAAUGCUAAUGGAGGAGAUGAUGACCUGAAAAGUAUUGCAUCUAGUCCACAGAGAAACGCAGGUAUGGAUUUGGAUAUGGAAGCACCAAAGUGUGGUGUACAACAGCAGGGGGAUAAGAUCAUACAUAAGCGCCCAGCCUUGGAUAUUGAGAAUGUGGUGCCAGCCGCUGGGCUAGUUCCGAUGGUACAUGCAAUUACUAAUGGCUCUAGCAAGGAUCUAGACACCUUUGCAACGUCUAGUUGAGCAGCAAAAGGGCAAAUAUGGAGAAGAAUAAGAACUGUGAUAUGCAUGGAUCGGCGGGCUCCCCUGAGGAGUGCCGUCGGGAACAAUGAAUCUUUUAUUUUGGAACAGCCGGUGGGUGGGGAACCGCCGAACAGUUCGAGAGGUUUUGGCCCUCGCAAAGGCCAAUUACCCAAAGCUUGUCUUUCUAAGUGAAACAAGGCAAGCUUCGAACAAGAUUGAAAAGCUGAAGUGGCGUUUAGGCUUGAAAGGUUUUCAUGGUGUUUGCAGUGAUGGCCAGAGUGGCGGCCUAGCUUUAUUUUGGGACAAGUCUCUUCGGGUCUCGAUUAGAGACUCAUGUUCUCGGCACAUUGAUGUGGAUGUGAUGGAUGGGAACAUUGGUUCAAGUUGGCGCGCAACUUUUUUUUAUGGAGAACCAAGGGUGGAAAACCGACAUUUGAUGUGGCAGCAUUUGUCAAGGUUAUGUGCUAGUUCAUUAGACCCAUGGUUAGUGUGUGGUAACUUUAACGAGGCACUUUGGCAACAUGAACACUUAUCAAGGACGCAACGAGCAGAAGUUCAGAUUGUGGCGUUUCGUGAUUGUCUAACGGUGUGUCAACUGGAAGAUUUGGGGUUCUCUUGCAUGCCGUAUACAUAUGAUAAUGGGCAGCAUGGUGAUCGUAAUGUACGUGUGCAUCUCGAUAGGGCAUGUGCGGAUGAGUAGUGGAGCGACAUGUUUCCAAUAAGGUCCAGGGUAGUUCAUGGGGCAACCCCUUGUUCUGAUCAUUGCCUGAUUGUUUUGCAGCUACAUCCGGUGGAUGACAAACCCUGUAGGUCUAAUUAUUCCCGCUAUGAAAUUAUGUGGGAAAGAGAACUGUCGCAAUAGGAAGUGGUCGCUAGAACAUGGGAGAUUGAGAGGCCAGCAGGAAAUCUUGGGUCGGUCUUGUACUCGCUUAAGAAUAUGAUGAGAAAGUUGCGGGAGUGGAGCAAAGAGAAGUUUGGCAAUGUAAUCUGGGACAUUGAAAAGCUUCAUGGCGAGCUUGCCGACCUACAGAUUGGUAACGCAGAUCGGGCUAUAAUAAGACAAAAGAUGAAUGAGUUAGACGAGAUAUUGUACCGUGAAUAGAUGCUUUGGCUCCAACGGUCACGAAUUACAUGGUUAAAGGAGGGCGAAAAAAUACGAGGUAUUUGCAUCGUCGUGCGGUUUGGAGAGGACGUAGAAAUCAUAUUCAGAGGUUGCGCAAAGAUGAUAGUUCAUGGUGUGAUAGCCCUUCGGAUAUGGAAUGGAUGGCACGUUCAUAUUUUAGUGAGGUGUACACAAAGGAUCCCACGCUAAAUGCGGACAGGGUCCUGGAGUGCAUUGCUCCAAAAGUUUCUGAGGAGAUGAACAAUUUCCUUUGUGCUCCUUAUUUAGAAAAGGAGGUCUCUGACGCGCUGUUUCAGUUUGGCCCACUAAAAGCACCAGGUACGGAUGGUCUUCGAGCACGAUUUUAUCAGCAUAACUGGGGCAUCUUAAAGUCUAAAAUUAUUGCGGCGGCGCUUGAGUUUUUUUGUUAGUGGAGUUAUGCCGGAUGGAGUUAAUGAUACGGCUAUCGUUUUGAUUCCAAAAGUGCCUCACCCAAAGGAGCUAAAGGAUUUCAGUCCGAUAAGCCUUUGCAACGUGGUGUAUAAAAUUGUCUCAAAUUGUAUGGUCAACAGGCUUAGGCAUCUUCUUAUGGAUCUUAUUUCGGAGAAUCAAAGUGCCUUUAUUCCAGGUCAUCUCAUAUCUGAUAAUUCUAUCAUUGCAUUUGAAUGUAUUGACUAUAUCCAAUCCCUAAAAGGUAGUACAAAUAUGUGCUGCGCCUACAAGCUUGAUCUUUUGAAACUUUACGAUCGAGUGGAUUGGAAUUUUUUGGAGAAGGCUUUAUUGAAGUGGGGCUUUUCUUCGGCUUGGAUUUCACGCAUUAUGGCGUGUUUUACUUUAGUUAAAUACUUAGUGAUGUUUAACGGGAAGUUUCUAGAGUCCUAUGCACCUACGAGAGGUCUUCGCCAAGGGGGUCCUCUUUCACCGUUUGUAUUCUUAUUUGUGGUUGAUGCAUUAUUUGCAUUAAUUAGUGAGGCCACUGUGGUAAAUGGUUUACACGGGGUUCAUAUUUGUAGAAGGGCAUGAGUAAUAUCUCACUUGCUCUUUGCGGAUGACUCGCUUUUAUUAUUUCAUGCUUCUGAGCAGCAGGCGAGCAUUGUCAAAGGUUUGUUGAACACUUAUGUAGAGGCGACGGGUCAACUUAUAAACCUAUCAAAGUGUUCCAUCCUGUUUUCUGGCAAUUGCCCUGAGCUGGUUCAUAUGUUUCAGCUACAUGCCACCAUCGUUUCUCUCAACAGUUCUCUACCAAACACGAUCAAGAGGCAGUAGAAAAUUGCAUUCCUUUCAAUUUUUUGCUAUAUAAACCAAACUUCAGUAUUUCUCUACUAUGAAAUGUCAUUAUCCUUUGCAAGAACUUCAACUCUAGCUAUAAGCUGAGAUAUGCAUGUUUUGUGUCUCAGGUCUUAAAGUGUCAACUACACAUUAGUCAUAAGCUAGCUAGCAUAGCUGGUAUGGUAACGUCCACCAUGGCUGCCUUUUUUAGAAAAGGAGGCUUGCUCGGGCCUCUACAUUAUGAUGAUGCAUGCAACCAUUUUAUUGCGCAAACAAAAAAUACAAUAAAGGAGUCAUUACUGACCUAUCUACCUCACGACCUAGUAUUAGAUAUGAUACGAACCUUCAACCACACACAUGCUACAUAUACUUCCUUCUCCAAUACCACCAUCGGUCGGUUUGUUACUUUUCACCCAAAUACCAUAUCUCAUCUCAUCCUUGUUUUAUUGGUUCCCCAAGUUUUCAUGUGCAUAAGAGGCACCGGGAAGCUCUAAAAAUCACAUUCCCAUAGUGCAUCUUCCAUCCUUCUUGGCCUUGGAUAGUGAUGUCAUCGCAAUCAGCUGGGCCCGAACUGCCAUCGAGAAGGAGCGGCCACCCUGCAAAAUUUGUCGGAUGCAAUCUGGCGGGGGCAAAGACAUCAUGCUCGGAGGUAGAUGACGAUGGGCACAAGGAGGAGAGUUUGGUCGCUGCCCGAGCCGCCUAGGACGCGAUGCGAUGGGCAGAUCUGCCUUAACUUUGGGAGAGAAUUUCACUUUCUGGCCUCUGCAACAAAUAUAGUACCAAGAUAAGCAUGAUCCUUAAAGAUUUUUUUAAUGAGUACCAAGAUAUUAUCAUGAUAAGUAUGCACAUUCAUAACAUCGGACAAGCCACUAUUAAUUUCCCUAUCUCUAAACAUGAUCUUCUACUAAAAUGUGUCUUCCAUGUUUCACGAAACAACAAAAAUCUUGCAUCCAUAUCUCGUUAAUCAGCCAAAAAUAAGUUUGUCUUUGAAACUCAUCCAACGAGGAUCGGGCAACGAGGGAUCUCAUCCAUCCUGGUAGAUGCACUGGACGACUUUACCCCAUUACAUCAAGAAUAUUUAGCCGAAAACGUCGUUGUGAAGUCCUCUUUGGCAAGAUGGCAUCAAAUAUUAGGACAUCCUUCAUAAAAAAUAGUUGACAAAAUAGUGAAUAAAGACAUUCUUCAAUUGUCUUGUAAUGAGAAUAAGGAGUCUUUUUGUGACGAUUGUCAAGAUGCCGAAGGUCAUCAACUCCCUUUUCCUAAGCUCCGCAAUGUGUCUCAUGCUCCUUUAGAUCUUCUUUUCGGUAAUGCAUGGGGUCAUGCAAGAGAUUCAUUUGGAAGAAAUAAAUACUAUAUAUGUUAUCUUUAUAGAUGAUUUUAGUAAGUUUACUUGGAUAUACCUGAUUAAACACAAAUCUAAAGUAUUUUCUUUCUUCAAAGAAUUCCAAAAACUUGUGGAGAGACACUUUGAUAAGAAAAUUAUUGCAGUCCAAAGUGACUGGGGUGGAGAGUAUGAGAAACUCAACUCUUUCUUUCAUAGUGUAGGCAUUGAUCAUGAUGUAUCAUGUCCACAUGCACUCAAAUAAAUUGUCUUGCUGACAGGAAGCAUUGGCACAUUGCUGAAAUAGGAAUUUCCUUCAUGCACAUGCAUCAAUUCCUCUUAAAUAUUGGGACCAAGCCUUUAUUGUUGCCACUUAUCUUAUCAACCGCCUACCAAGCAAAGUCAUUGGCAAUAGCACUCCUCGGAAUGUAGAACAGUAGAAGGGUGUUAUGAGGUUUAUGCACAACAUCCAAAAUAAAGAGACCCAAGCUCAGUCAUAGAAUCCUAUGGACAAUACACCUGUUAGAAUCCGAUGUAAGAAAUUGAAUAUCCAACGGCAAGCAGUGCUCCUUUCCAGAUCUGUACCUUUUUAAUUGCUUCAUCCAAUAGCCAAUAUUCGAAGCUUAUUUGUACAUUAUAUAUAGGGAUUUUGUGGUGGGUACAACUGCAACUUUUCGUUUAUUUUCUCUCGUAUAUAAAGGUGACAUACAGAUGUUAGCGCGGCCAGCGUGUAAUCGACUCGGUGACCAACAUGAUGCAACCCUAGACUCAUAUGUAGUCUUGUCAGUCACCUCCUUCGUUGGGGCCUGGUUCAGAAGAUAGACCGCCGUCGAGACAACUUUUCACUAAAAAAUAUCCGGUAAGUUCUUCUUCUUGAGUAAACUCCUCGCCAUGCCAACGACGGUUCAACCGUGCCUUCCAACACUGUUCUGCUGCAGCAUAUAAGAUGUCGUGGGGAACCAUUUUAAGACGAUCUUCUUACAGCAGUCAUUGAACUCCGCCAUGAUCUGUGCAUAGAGCUUGAACAUUCAGCUCGUGUUCCAUCUUUGUUGCAGCCUUUGGUUUCUUGAAAGCUUCAAACGCCUCAUAUUUAGUGUCACAUAGAUCACCAGGGAGUAGCAGAGUAGGGAACGGUUAUGUAUGCAAAUAAAUCACAUAGUAGUAAUAAGAACAAAAGAACACUUUGAAGCGCGUGUUGUCUCUCUCCUUUCUUCGAAGGGUAGCAGUAACCGCUAGCAAACUAGUGCCAAACCUUGCUCUAUGUCUCUCUAUCUCUCUCUCUCCCUCCCUCCCGCCCUCCUCUCUGAUUUCUGCCAUCGCCAGCUGCUCCUUCCACAGCGUUUAGAAUCCCCUUUACCCGGCAGCGUGUACAGCAGUAGGGCACAACAACAGCCAAUAGGCACUGUACCUUUCCUUCGUACGUGGUCACGGCGGCAACAGCAUGGAGUUCAUUUAUUGAUGAAUCCCCAUCUUAUAUGCUUGCCCUUCUCUUUCGUAAUUAAUGAGCCCAAAAUUAACCUGCAUAUUUAACCCUAUGCACAAGGACAGUGGAUGAUCUGUGACAAAAACUGCAAUUAGGAUGGUUAAUUGGAGGCUCACCAACAUAUAUUGAUCUUAUCUUACGCUUGUGCAUUUUAGUUCUGCAGUGGCGGGUGUAAUUUAAGGCACGACAAGGGCCCUUGGCUACAUAAUUUUGUGUGUGCGUGUUAGUAGUGAUUUCAUGUAAUCGAUCCUGAGGGUUGAGUUCCAACAAUUGUUAGGUCUAAUCUUGAGUUUGUAGUCACAAGUGCAUGUACAGGUUGUGCUAGGACGUGUAGUCCAUGGUCUUGGGCUAAGUACGUGUCUAGUUUAGAUAGUUCUAGGAGUCCUGAGUCAUGCACGGGUACUAGUCCUUGCAGGAACAGGUUAGUAGGUGUCCGAGGUUAGUUUGGCUAGUUAGAGUCCGAGUAGGACUUGUGUCAUGUUGGUCAAGGCUGCGUGCAUAUAUAUAGACGUGAAGGUAUGUGGAUUUUGGAGUACCGUGACUUGAGAAAAAAGAGAAAAUAAAGAGGGAAAAUUAAGGCACGACAAGGGCCCUUGGCUACAUAAUUUUGUGUGUGCGUGUUAGUAGUGAUUUCAUGUAAUCGAUCAUGAGGGUUGAGUUCCAACAAUUGGUAUCUAGAGCAAGGUCGAGGUGAAGCUAUACUUGCCCCGGGGAGGUGACCCGACUAGCGCCUCGGGGCGGGCUAUAUGGUCACUGGGUGGUGCAGCGACGAGGAGCGGCGGGCAAUGGUCGUUCGUGGAGCGACGGAUGAAGAGGUUCAGGAGAUCGUCGUUCGGCGAAGCGGCAAGGAGGGACAGUGGUCGGUCGUCGGCAAGGCGGUGGAAGAAAAUCGUUGAUGGGAGCGAUGGUGCCGAGGUGCGGUGCCGAGAAGCCAUCAAGGUCAUCGUCCAAGGGAAUAGGAGUCAAGGAGUCGUGCGGGUUGGGACAUCUCGGUCGUCGUGUCAGUGAGUCGUCGGCGUCGUCAUGUCCAAGUGCUCGUCUUGGUGAUGAUUCGUUGGAGUUGAAGCGGUGUGCACGGUGUUCCGUGAGUCAUAUCCAUGUCCUCGUGGAGCGUCCUGGUUGCGGCCAGUAUGGAUUCGGUGUGAUGCCGAAGGUGGACGAUGGUAGGCGAAGCCAUCGUAAAGCGAGGAGGUGUGCGAGUAGUGGAGAGUGGAUCUACUACAAGCAAGUACAAAGAGUAUGGUGCGGACCGAGUGCAAGGCAGCGGCCAAGCAAUGGCGGUGGCACAACAUUGUAGAGCAAGGAGGUUCUACUUGUUUCCAGACGGGUCAUACUCAAUGUACGGAUACGACGGUUUAGUCGAUGUGUCGACAAGUCACGAGUCAACAACGAGUCAAGACAAGACGGAACACUAAGAAGAUGGCAUGUCAAGAUUAGGAAGAGAUUGUUAGGUAUAAUCUUGAGUUUGUAGUCACUAGUGCAUGUACAGGUUGUGCUAGGACGUGUAGUCCAUGGUCUUGGGCUAAGUACGUGUCUAGUUUAGAUAGUUCUAGGAGUCCUGAGUCAUGUACGGGUACUAGUCCUUGCAGGAACAGGUUAGUAGGUGUCCGAGGUUAGUUUGGCUAGUUAGAGUCCGAGUAGGACUUGUGUCAUGUUGGUCAAGGCUGCGUGCAUAUAUAUAGACGUGAAGGUAUGUGGAUUUUGGAGUACCGUGACUUGAGAAAAAAGAGAAAAUAAAGAGGGAAAAUUAAGGCACGACAAGGGCCCUUGGCUACAUAAUUUUGUGUGUGCGUGUUAGUAGUGAUUUCAUGUAAUCGAUCAUGAGGGUUGAGUUCCAACAAUUGGUAUCUAGAGCAAGGUCGAGGUGAAGCUAUGCUUGCCCCGGGGAGGUGACCCGACUAGCGCCUCGGGGCGGGCUAUAUGGUCACUGGGUGGUGCAGCGACGAGGAGCGGCGGGCAAUGGUCGUUCGUGGAGCGACGGAUGAAGAGGUUCAGGAGAUCGUCGUUCGGCGAAGCGGCAAGGAGGGACAGUGGUCGGUCGUCGGCAAGGCGGUGGAAGAAAAUCGUUGAUGGGAGCGAUGGUGCCGAGGUGCGGUGCCGAGAAGCCAUCAAGGUCAUCGUCCAAGGGAAUAGGAGUCAAGGAGUCGUGCGGGUUGGGACAUCUCGGUCGUCGUGUCAGUGAGUCGUCGGCGUCGUCAUGUCCAAGUGCUCGUCUUGGUGAUGAUUCGUUGGAGUUGAAGCGGUGUGCACGGUGUUCCGUGAGUCAUAUCCAUGUCCUCGUGGAGCGUCCUGGUUGCGGCCAGUAUGGAUUCGGUGUGAUGCCGAAGGUGGACGAUGGUAGGCGAAGCCAUCGUAAAGCGAGGAGGUGUGCGAGUAGUGGAGAGUGGAUCUACUACAAGCAAGUACAAAGAGUAUGGUGCGGACCGAGUGCAAGGCAGCGGCCAAGCAAUGGCGGUGGCACAACAUUGUAGAGCAAGGAGGUUCUACUUGUUUCCAGACGGGUCAUACUCAAUGUACGGAUACGACGGUUUAGUCGAUGUGUCGACAAGUCACGAGUCAACAACGAGUCAAGACAAGACGGAACACUAAGAAGAUGGCAUGUCAAGAUUAGGAAGAGAUUGUUAGGUAUAAUCUUGAGUUUGUAGUCACUAGUGCAUGUACAGGUUGUGCUAGGACGUGUAGUCCAUGGUCUUGGGCUAAGUACGUGUCUAGUUUAGAUAGUUCUAGGAGUCCUGAGUCAUGUACGGGUACUAGUCCUUGCAGGAACAGGUUAGUAGGUGUCCGAGGUUAGUUUGGCUAGUUAGAGUCCGAGUAGGACUUGUGUCAUGUUGGUCAAGGCUGCGUGCAUAUAUAUAGACGUGAAGGUAUGUGGAUUUUGGAGUACCGUGACUUGAGAAAAAAGAGAAAAUAAAGAGGGAAAAUUAAGGCACGACAAGGGCCCUUGGCUACAUAAUUUUGUGUGUGCGUGUUAGUAGUGAUUUCAUGUAAUCGAUCCUGAGGGUUGAGUUCCAACAGUAAUGCUUAAACCUUUUAAAUAAUAGAGCUUCCCAUUUUAGAAAAUAUGGCAACGGAAAAAAUGCACUAUACAAAAUAGUGUCGACCCUUAAAAUAUGUUCCUAACAUUUUUAGAAAGACAAUUCUCUACAUAGUAUAGCGUGCUAUUAAUGACGCUAUAGCAUUGCUAUUUUUGCCCUAGUUAUAUAUAUGAUGGUAAGUAUGAGGAACUUAGUUAGAGUUAUGUAUAGACAGAUACUUAUUCAUAUAGCAGUAGCACAUGGACAGAGUUGUAGCUACCGCAAGAGGCUUACCAUCAUAUGUGCAAUAAAGGAGUAGUAGUGUUAUUAAUUCAUAUAUCUACCUCACAGACUAGUUAUGAGAAAGGACACAAACCCUUGGCUACAGAUAUAUCAUAUAUAUACCUCCUCCUUCUGCCAGCAGCGAUAGGUUCGCUCGCACACAUUCAUAGUUUUCACUGAGAUAUGAUGCUUUUAUCUUAUCCCAGUUUUUUUUUGCCUCCCAAUUAAUUAAGAUAGGCAUUGAAGGUUUCUGGAAGUCUCCGAAAACGGUAGACUGAUGGCGCAGUAUCCAUCUCUCUAGCCUACAUCGUAAUACGGCGCAAUAUACUGCUUAGCGGCCACUACACUCUGUAUUUUUUGGUAAUCAUGAGCCAUCAUGGUGUGUCGUCAUCAGCAAAGCUAAUUAGCCUAUCUUGUGCUAGCGACAAUAAACGUAACCAAAUUUUUAAUUUCGAGAAAGCAUAAAUACAUGCAUACAAGAUUAUUGCUCUAGGACUGAGAAAUCGAGCAUCUUAUAUAUCUUUGCAGGUUUUGCUCGUCCAUAGAUACAAUAUCUUCAAUUUGAUUUUGGUUGUCUGUCAAUUUGAACCAAAUCAUUGGACCAUUAACCUGAAUUUUGUACGUCGUCUAUUUUAUUAUGUGGACAUGGACCGUGGGUAGAUGAUGAUUAAUGGCGAUGGCAGUCAGGAACAGGAACUAGAGGGUCACAACAUAGCUCCCUUUUAUGUUAAUUGUGCCCUUGUGGUGGUAAUUGGGAACACCUUAGCUAGAGAGUCUCUCAGAGUGAGAAAUACUAAGUACAUAUAGCAGUAGCAGGUAGAUAGAGUUAUACCAUUCCAAUAAAUCAUAACUAAUUAUAUGAUUGACGCACAAACAAAAUUACUUGUUAUAAAAAAAUACAUGUGGUUGAGCAACCAAAGAGUCAAGGCCACAUAGACGCUUGAACAAUUCAGGAUCUCAUAUGUCAACUAUACGUUGAUUUCAACAAAUAUGUCAUGAUUGAUAAAUAUAAGAGUCUUGCACCACAUCAUGCAUUAAAAAUAGUUAUUCAUUACCAAAUGUUAUGACCCGUUGCAAGAACUUGAACUCUAUGCACUUAAAUGACCAUAUAUAGAUCCCAUUGUUUCACCUUAACUAUAAAGAGUUUCUACUAACUUAAAUGAGCCAGUCUGUGUCUAGCUAUCUAACAUCGGCAAUCAUUACCUAGUUUAUCCAUCUCACUUUUGCGUAUUCUUAGCAUGCCUAUCUACCAUAAAUAGUAGCACUACUAAAAAAAGGCUAUAGCUAAUAUAUAUGGACAUUAAUGACCCAUCAUGUAUGUGGUGCGUCACUGCUAUAUAGCAGUGGCGCACCAGAGACUGGUGCGUCAUUAGUGUUCAUAUUACUAAUGGCGCACCUUGUGUGUGGUGCGCCAUUACUAUCUUUGUUCUGGCCCCACACCCUUUCCUAGACAUAUCAGUGACGCACCAGGGAAAGUACGCCAUUACUAGUUUUAACUAGUAAUGGCGCACCACAUCCACGGUGCGUCAGAACUAACGAUUGUUUUUUCAGUUUUUUUUUUCAAAAUUACUAAUGGCGCAUUGUUACGAGGUGCGUCAUUGGUAACCUGGUUAUCAAUGACGCAUUCUUAGGUGGGUCGCCAUUGAUAAUCAGAAGUGAAAAAAAAAACUCCCGCUCCAAUCCAGCGAAACUCCCGCUCUCGCGCACCGUCCACCUCCCCCACUGCACCUGCCGUCGCCGGCUGAACCCCCUGCUCCCCCCUCGCCGCUGCGCCACCUCCGCCUCGCACCGCGCCCUCCCCGCUCCCUGCCUCUCCCCACCGCCGCCAGGAACCCCCGAUGAUGGGCGACGACAAGAGCGCCGCCGCCUCCCCCUCCGCCUCCGCCGCGCUCCCCUCCUUCGGCCUCGAGGUUCGCCCAGAGGUUCGCCCCCCUCCCUCCGCCGUAUAGAACCCUCUCAAAACUUAGCGGACAGUGUUCAGUGGUUAGUACAAAUGGAGACGGAUCGAGGUCAGUGGUUUUUGAAUCAUUUUGUGUAUGUGGUUCUGCCAUGUAGUUGAAACGUGAAGUUUUGAGAGGAACAGGCUGGCAAUAUUCGUACAACCAUAGUGCAAAGUUGUAAAUUAUACUUAGGAACUAAUUUUUUUACAAAAAUGGUUCGAAAGAUAAUAUUUCAUAAGAUCGUGAUUGAUUAUGGGCAACAACACAUGUUUCCCAUAAGUUACGAGCGCCAACCCACGCUGAUAAAUGUGCCCUUGACGAGGUCUAACUAUUACCACCAUCUGCAACGGUAGGAUUUUGCCAUCUAAUUAUUUAGGAUUAUGUCCAAAUGAAGAGAGAAACGGUAGAGCUAAUGCACAUGUCAAGGUCAAGGUCAUAUGUCAGACCAGUAACAAUGUCAAGGUCGUAUAUCUAUAUCUCUGUUUGUUGAUUUGAUCCAUGCACAAGUCAAUAAUCAGAUCAAUAAUAAUGUGAAAGUUCUCUGUUUCUGUCGGUUGAUUCAACCUAUACAUGCACAUAUAAAUGACAGAGCUGUUCAAAAGCUACAACGACAUUUGAAACUUUUCAACCUAUACAUGCACAUGUAAAUGACAGAGCUCUUCAAAAGCUACAGCGACAUUCGAAACUUUGAUACAUAUACAUCUGCCCAAGCUUUUGUACUAGGAACAGAAGGGAGACAAUUAUUCCCUCGUAAUGAAUGGUGAACAGCUGAGGUUCUAUCAGGGAGAUGAUGCAUGACGCCUAGGGAUGUGAUUGGGUUGAAAAGGAAUCAUGUCUUUCCAUCUCACCUUCAUCUAUCUAGGUUUAAUGUAAUCUAAUACAAGGGGCUCCCAAUCAACUCUGGUUUUGUUAUCUUGUGGCUUUUGAGCUAGCAGUAGUACUAGUGCUGCUAGGGAUGAAAAAGAUAAGAUGAUAGUGACAGGGGAAUCGGGUGUAUAGGGAAUCGGCAGAAAGGGUGACAAGAGAUGUAUAGAUAUGAUGUGUCUGUUGGCCAUAAAGGUCAGGUAUCAUUGCAAUGAAAAAAAUGUGACCAAGUGCCGUUUGUGUGGUUUAUUCCUGAAAGAAUGCAAAGUUCAAAACAUGCAGAGGUCAUUGUGUAAUCUUUGUGUAAGCAGCCGAGCAACCAUUGUCCAUGUUGCUUCUCGUCCUAAACUGUGAUUGCUCAUGGUGGACGGCUCAUGAUGCAUUACCUAGCUAGGUGAAAGAUGCAGAAAUGGGCCUGAAAAAAAUGUGUUGUUGUCCCGACUAAUACUAGUACAUAUUUCGAGCAAAUGAUCAAUUUCAUAUCAGGCAUCAAACGGUCCUAAUUAAUAUAAUCAACACCAAACGGUCCUUAAUCAACACCACCCCACUCCCUAAUAAACACCAAAUGGUCCUAGUUAAUUAAUAUAAUCUGAAGCAUCAUUCAUCUUACUUUUGCCACGAACCAUGAACCAUUGUACCGAGAGAGGUAUCAUUCAUCUUACUUUGUGCAUUGCUUGACUUGCCAUGAACCAUGGUAUCGAGAGAGGUGUCAUUCAUCUUACUUUUACAUUUUACAUGCUAAUAUUACUAUUGUGCCAUGGUACCGAGAGAGAUAUCAUUCAUCUUAUUUUUACUUGCCAUGAACCAUGUUACCAAGAGAGGUAUACCUGUAAUAUAUUGCACCGAAAGAGUGCUCUUCAUGUUUGGUAGCUUUGCUUGUUUUGCCGGAAUGUUGAUUCAUUUCCAUUCCGGCAAAUUUCAGGCGCUUCAUAUGUUCAUUUUUUUAGUAAAUGUCAUGCCCAAAUUUUCUUUGUUUUAGGAAUUGUCGUCUGACGACGAAUACGUUAUGUGCGAAUACUGCCAAGACAAGCGCGGCCUUUGCGACAAGCCUUUCCUAGUUGAUGAUAGGCGUUUCAGCAUCAUGCUGGAUGAGGACUUCGAAGUGGAUACAGUAAGUCACAACGACAAGUCUUUUUUGGUAAUUAAGCAUGACUUCUUUUGCUUCAACUUAUAAUUUUUAUUUUUUACUAUUCUACUAGCGUAUCCCCUGCCAUGCAAGACAUUAUGUGUUGGCUAAGAUUGGUUUCGGUACUGAAGAAGCUAUGGAGGUAAAGAUAGUUCACUUGAGGACCGAGCAUGGUUAUACUUUUGCCGUAAAAUUGUACAAUGCAGACACCUACUCCGUUUUUGAAUGCAAAACUUGGGUAGCACUAUGCAAGGCUUAUGCAUUUGAGCCUAAUAUGGUUAUCACCUUUGAUAUUCGUACGGAAGAUGAAAUUGAAGGUAAUAUCGACAUUUGGUUCGAUGGGCAGACGCCUCCAGUUCUAUCAUUAUGUGAGUUUCUCAACCAUAUUUAUUAAGUAAUUUAUAUUGUUUAUUUAAAAAUAGUUGACAACUUAUUUCCAUUGACAAUUUAUUUUCAUUCUUCAAAAAAUGUAUGGAAAAUGGUAGACAAAACCUAUUACUACAAUUAUGAAGCAGAAUUAUCUUGUCAGGAGAUACAUCAUCUUGUCCAAUUUAUCAUUGAUCUUGAGAAUUACAAUACCAAUCAGCAAACUUUCCAACAUUAUGGUCAAUAUGUGCCACUAGUGCACGUGGUGAACUACAGUAACAUGCAUGGAGAUUGCAUGGUAAGAUUUUCUACUAUUAUGACAUACAUGCAUCUUUUGCAUAAAUUCUUGUAAAACUAAACUACAUUGCUAGCUACAAAGCUAAUACUAUGUUUUUCAACAGAAAAUCCCGGAAGAUUGUGUGCCUCAUCUGAUGUUACCAAGAGGUCGCGUUGAUGUUAUGAUCAUACGACCAGCACGGCCAGGUCAGCCUAGGUAUCUGAUGUACUCCUGUCCAUACCGGAUUUCUAAAACCGAUGAAGUCAUGACAAUCAAAGAUUGGAAAAAAUGUAUGGUCUAUCCUAGAGAGCUACUUGGAAGCAACAUUGUGCGUAGGCCAAGAAUUGGAGACAAGAUGAUCUCCAUUCUCCAUAAUGAAGAGUCAGGGCCUAUCUUGUUUUUUGAUAUUCUACCUAAGCGGAGGAGUAGGUCCUAGGUUCAAUGUGUUAUUAUGUGCUACAGUGUGAUGAUGUGCUACAAUGUGUUAAUGUGAUGAUGUGCUACAAUGUAUUAAAUAGUAUUGGUGGUAAUGACUAUGAUGAUUAUUAGCUAUUUCCGAGAUGAUGUGAUGAUGUGCUACAAUGUGUUAGAGUUGACGAUGAUGAUGAUGAUGAUGUGCUACAAUGUAUUUUGUAACCUGUGCACCAUCUAAAAGUGCACAGGUUACAAUGAUGAUGAUGAUGUGCUACAAUGUGCUAAAAAAAUCCUAAUAUUCAUAGUAGUGGCCCACCAUCUAAAGUGCGCCAUUAGUAAACCCACAGUAGUGAAGCACUUCUGGGCCUAAUAAUGACGGACCAGGUGGUGCGCCACUGUUAUGUAUAUUAACAGUGGCGCACGAGGGGUGCGCCAUUACUAUUUAUUAGUAGUGGCGUGAUAAUAGUGGCGCACCUAUAGUGCGCCAUUAAUAGGAAAAAUAGAUGCACAACUAAUAGCCUUUUUUCUAGUAGUGUAGUAAUGGGUACAAACUAUAAGUUAGCUCCAUAUAAUGACACUUCUGUUGGAAUUAACCACGAUCAAGUAGUCCUGUCAGGAUCGGACUAGGAGCAGUCACCGAAUACGUAUAGGUGUAGGUCAGUUUUGCUCCUAGAUAUACUUGCACUAGUGGGGACGGGGCCUUUAGCCCGGGCCCGUAAGGGGCUUUAGUCCCGGUUCACCAACCGGGACUAAAGGGGCGGGACUAAAGGCCUAACCUUUCGUCUCGGCCCUCUUACAAGCCGGGACUAAAGGUGCUUCACGUGGGCGCCUCGUAGCGCCCCAGGGCCAGGCCCUUUAGUCCCGGUUCGUUACACGAACCGGGACUAAAGAUUUUCAGAUUUUGCUGGUUUUUGGGUUUUUUUUUUGAAUGAAAUUAUUUUUGGGUUUUAGGGUUUUAGGGUUUAGGUGUUCGGGAAUUAGUUUUCAUAUAAAUUAAAUAGAAAUAAUUAUGCAUAUAUAUAUAUAAGAUUAACUNNNNNNNNNNNNNNNNNNNNNNNNNNNNNNNNNNNNNNNNNNNNNNNNNNNNNNNNNNNNNNNNNNNNNNNNNNNNNNNNNNNNNNNNNNNNNNNNNNNNAUAUAAUAAUAACUAAUUUAUUAUUGCCUCUAGGGCAUAUUUCCAACAGUCUCCCACUUGCACUAGAGUCAAUAAUCUAGUUCACAUCACCAUGUGAUUCCAACGAAUCCAACACCCAUAUAGUUAUGGGGUCUGAUCACGUCUUGCUCAUGAGAGAGGUUUUAGUCAACAGUUCUGAAAAUUUCAGAUCCGUGUGUUCUUUACAAAUCUUUAUGUCAUCUUAUAGAUGCUGCUACUAUGUGCUAUUCGGAAAUACUCCAAAUAUCUACUCUACUAUACGAAUCCGUUUCACUACUCAUAGUUNNNNNNNNNNGUGAGAGAGGUUUUAGUCAACGGUUCUGAAACUUUCAGAUUCGUGCGUUCUUUACAAAUCUUUAUGUCAUCUUAUAGAUGCUGCUACUACGUGUUAUUCAGAAAUGCUCCAAAUAUCUACUCUACUAUACGAAUCCGUUUCACUACUCAUAGUUAUUCGGAUUAGUGUCAAAGCUUGCAUCGACGUAACCCUUUACGACGAACUCUUUAACCACCUCCAUAAUCGAGAAAAAUUCCUUAGUCCAUCAGUUACUAAGGAUAAAUUUUGACCGCUGCUAGUGAUUCAAUCAUGGAUCACUCUCUGUACCUCUCAACAGACUUGCUGCAAGGCACACAUCAGGUGCGGUACUCAGCAUGGCAUACUUUAGAGUCUAUGGCUAAGGCAUAGAAGACGACCUUNNNNNNNNNNAUGUACCUCUCAACAAACUUUGAGUCAAGGCACACAUCAGGUGCGGUACCCAGCAUGGCAUACUUCAGAUUCUACGGCCAAGGCAUAGAAGACGACCUUCGUCUAUUCUCUUUAUUCUGCCGGGGUCGGGUUUUGAGUCUUACUCAAAUUCACACCUCACAACGCAACCAAGAACUCCUUCUUUGCUGAUCUAUUUUGAACUCCUUCAAAGACUUGUCAAGGCAUGGAUCUUGUUGAAACUUCCGCUAAGCACUUUCGAUCUAUCUCCAUAGAUCUUUGAUGCUCAACGUUCAAGUAGCGCAAUCCAGGUACUCCUUUGAAAACUCCUUUCAAACAACCUUGUAUGCUUUACAGAAAUUCUACAUUACUUCUGCUCCACAAUAUGUCAACCACAUAUACUUAUAAGAAAUUCUAUAGUGCUCCCACUCACUUCUUUGGAAAUACAAGUUUCUCAUAAACCUUGUACAAACCCAAAAUCUUUGAUCAUCUCAUCAAAGUGUAUAUUCCAACUCCGAGAUGCUUGCACCAGUCCAUUGAAGGAUCGCUGGAGCUUGCAUACUUGCUAGUAUCUUUAGGAUCAACAAAACCUCCUGGUUAUAUCACAUACAAUGUUUGCUCAAGGAAACCGUCGAGGAAACAAUGUUUUGACAUCCUAUGUGCAAUAUUUCAUAAAUAAUGCAUCAACUACUAACAUAAUUCUAACAGACUUUUAGCAUCGCUACGAGUGAGAAAGUCUCAUCACUACAAGAAACCUGUUAAUCCAUGACGGAUUUAUGGUGACGUUUUAGAAAACCGUCAUGAAAACUGUUACAAUUGAGCAACGUGCGAACGGGCGCAAAACGUUACUCCCUUUAUGACAGAAAUGGAGGUACCGUCAUGAACGUCGUCAUGGAUCUACUAGCUGGGCCUAGUCGGACUGUCACCGACGUUCCUUGCUGAUGUGUAGUGCGUCCUUAUAUCCUCCAUGCUGCCAAAGGUGCUUUCUGAUUGGUUGAUAUGACCCUCUCGCGGAUCACGCACAAGCACCGUCCAUCCCUCCUAGAUCCAACGGUAGGCACACUCUCCCCUCUCUUUGUUCUCUCUUCCUCCACCCGUGAUCCUCCCCUGAGCCGCCUACUGUUCGAUCCCAAAACUAAUCCCCCAAUUUCGGACCGAGGCACCAUAGAUCUCAGCUCCUUCCCCACGCGCCUCUCACCAGAUCCAUGCCGACAUGCCCAUCCUCUCCUCCCCGUCCAUCUGCUCGUGGAUCUUGUCGCCGGGGUAUCCUUCCCGGAUCUGUUCGCAAGUCCCCAGCCUCAACCAGGGACGCCAACCACCACCACCACCCCUCUCACGUCGUCGUCCCUCGCCGGUCACGCCGUGGUAGGGACUGCUGCUUCCCCUCCGUCGCACACUCAUAGAGGCGACAAGGAAGCGAAUUGCCCUCCUCGAGGGCUGGACGGUGCUGCCACUGUGCAAUGUACGGCUGCAGGCGUUCACCUCCUAGUCCAUCGUCUGCGACGCACCUUAUUCUCCAUCAAGGUUAGCUACCCGCUCGACCCUGUUCCCCGGCUCUCCCUGCAGUUCAUGAAUUCGGGAUGUUGUCUUUGGGUUCUGACUGUGUUGUUGACUGGUCUGAUUGAUUAACUUCUUGUCUUCAAUCGCUGAUGCAGUGCACAACUACUUGCUGCUGAACCUUGUUAGUGUGUUCUAAGGGACGGAGACGGGGAGAGAUGUAGUUGUACAACUACUUGCUGCUGAACCUUGUUAGUGUGUUCGUCCAAUUGAUUAACUUUAGGGCACACCUCAAUUGGAACUCCACACUGCACUAUAGCAAUAUUGUUUUGGAAUGCCCCAUUUAUGGUGAUGACUGAAUGCGUAUUUGGAUAUAGUUAAAUUAUAGUUUGAUCUGGUUCGUUCUGCUGUCUUGGGAUCUAUAACGCAGAGGCGUAUCUCAGGUGUUNNNNNNNNNNNNNNNNNNNNNNNNNNNNNNNNNNNNNNNNNNNNNNNNNNNNNNNNNNNNNNNNNNNNNNNNNNNNNNNNNNNNNNNNNNNNNNNNNNNNACAGCGCGACGCGGCACCGAGACGAACUGCCGCGGGCCUCUAUGGCAGAGAGAGGGGGGCUCUGGAUCUGCCGUGGCGGAGCUGGAUCCAGCGACGAGGGACGUGCCGUCGCCGGCGGCGAUCGAUUCCGGCGAGAUCGAGCGAUCGUUUUUUCUCUUCUCCCCCCGUGCGGUGUGGUGGUGUGUGUCAGCGACCGAUGAUGCUUUUUUUUCUUCUCUCCAACCGAUGAUCGUUCGUGGAGAUCUGGUGUGCCAUGCCACGCAUACGCCAUUCUUUCACUUUGCCCCCCGGUGCUAACCGUCCCUCGCAAACGGGUCCCUGAAUAAUACCUUAGGGGCUAUUAUGUUCUUCCACUUUGGCCCCUGUUACUAACCGUCCUUCGAGAACGGGUCCCUGAAUGAUACAUUAGGGGCUAUUCUGUCAAAAGUGGAUAAACUACCNNNNNNNNNNCUUCUUGUCUCCAACCGAUGAUCGUUCGUGGAGAUCUGGUGUGCCAUGCCACGCAUACGUCCUUCUUCCACUUUGCCCCCGGUACUAACCGUCCCUCGCAAACGGGUCCCUGAAUAAUACCUUAGGGGCUAUNNNNNNNNNNGAGUACUUAUAGUCACACUGCAACCAACUUAGUAAUUACAAAUUAGUCGAUUUCCUCGCGUUUCUCGAGGUGUCGUAGUGGAGGUUGCUCCAUGCUCAGCAUCGUUUGGGUGCACGACACGAAAUUGAUCGGUACUGCUCUCUCGGUCGGUCCAGGUGCAUAGAGCGAUUAAGGAGUCGCGGCGUGACCAAGACACAGUAUGACAUGUCAGCGUUAAGUUUAAUAUAUUGGAAGCUAUAUGAGAGGGUCAAAAGAGGCAAUGGGCNNNNNNNNNNNNNNNNNNNNNNNNNNNNNNNNNNNNNNNNNNNNNNNNNNNNNNNNNNNNNNNNNNNNNNNNNNNNNNNNNNNNNNNNNNNNNNNNNNNNACAGAAACAAGAGUUCAAUGUAGGUGAUUAUGUCUUGCUAUACAAUUCUUGUUUGAGAUUCUUUGCAGGCAAGCUUCUCUCUAAAUGGGAAGGUCCCUAUGUUGUUGAGGAAGUAUAUUGUUCCGAUGCCAUCAAAAUCAAUAACACGAAAGGAAAUUUUCCUAGAGUGGUAAAUGGGCAAAGAAUCAAGCAUUACAUCUCUGGUACUCCCAUACAUGUUGAUACCAAUAUCAUCAAUGUCAUAACUCCAGAGGAGUACAUAAGGGAUGUUUAUCAGCCUGUUUCAGACCUUGAAAAUGAAGAUGUAUCUGUUUGAGUAAGAAAUUGGACUCCGAUGCUUUUCCAAUAGGAAAUUUCCUCCGUUUUGGAAUUUUUGGAAAAUUAGAAAAAUAAAAAGCAGUCCGGAGAGCGAACGAGGCGGCCACAAGCCCUGCCACCGCCCCUACCCCCCUGGUGGCGGAGGGCAAGCUUGUGGGCACCUCGUGUGCCUCCCGGACUCCGUUUGCUUGCAGAGGACUCCUUCUGGCCCAAAAAAAAUCAAUAUAUAGUCGCCCGAAGGUUUUGAUCUCCGUAUCGCGUAGUUUUCCUGUGUUUUCGUUUCGAGCCUAUUUCUGUGACAGAUCUAGAUCAUCAUGACUUCCCCAAACGCCCCUAAGGACAAGAUCUUCGAGAAAGUCAUCAAUCCCUACCUCACGGAAGUGCUGAAACACCCUCAAUCUAUCAAGAUGAGCGAGGGGAUGUUGCACAUCCGUGAUGUUGAGGGGCCUAAGAAGACCGGAAGCAUGGAAACGAGGCUCGAAGCAAUGGAGCAACAAGUCUUCAAGUGCUAAGGGAUGGUGGAGAGUGGACUCAACGCCAACCACACAAUGAUCAGGGAGUUCACUAGCAAUCACAAGAUGGAUGCCAUUGAUAUUGNNNNNNNNNNNNNNNNNNNNNNNNNNNNNNNNNNNNNNNNNNNNNNNNNNNNNNNNNNNNNNNNNNNNNNNNNNNNNNNNNNNNNNNNNNNNNNNNNNNNNNNNNNNNNNNNNNNNNNUGAUCAACUGCAGGGCCAGAUCUAUGACCAGCAGAACCAAAACUAUGAGUAUGAGUACAUAUUUAAAUCAAUAAGGUUGGCUGCAGAUUUGAGGAUUCCGGCGACUCGUUCAUCCUGCCAUGAUGGAGCACCUAUGCCUUGGAAGACGGAGGAUCAGACUACUCCAACAACUCCACCACCAUCACCACCAAAGGAAGACAACUAAGCAUUGGUAUGGGCAAUCCCCUUGGCUUCUGCCAAGCUUGGGGGAGUUGCCCUGGUAUNNNNNNNNNNNNNNNNNNNNNNNNNNNNNNNNNNNNNNNNNNNNNNNNNNNNNNNNNNNNNNNNNNNNNNNNNNNNNNNNNNNNNNNNNNNNNNNNNNNNCUAGAUCGUGGGACUGAUCGCGGGACGGUUCGCGGGGCGGAUCGAGGGGCGUGAGGACGUUCCACUACAUCAACCGCGUUCACUAAUGCUUCUGCUGUACGGUCUACAAGGGUACGUAGAUCACACAUCCCCUCUCGUAGAUGGACAUCACCAUGAUAGGUCUUCGUGCGCGUNNNNNNNNNNUCUGUACGAUCUACAAGGGUACGUAGAUCACUCAUCCCCUCUCGUAGAUGGACAUCACCAUGAUAGGUCUUCGUGCGCGUAGGAAAAAUUUUGUUUCCCAUGCGACGUUCCCCGACAGUGGUAUCAGAGCCAGGUUCAUGCGUAGAUGUCUUCUCGAGUAGAACACAAAAGUUUUUGUGGGCGGCGAUGCGCGUUUUGCUGCCCACCUUAGUCUUUUCUUGAUUCCGCGGUAUUGUUGGAUUGAAGCGGCUUGGACCGACAUUACUCGUACGCUUACGAGAGACUGGUUUCAUCGCUACGAGUAACCCCGUUGCUCAAAGAUGACUGGCAAGUGUCAGUUUCUCCAACUUUAGUCGAAUCGGAUUUGACCGAGGAGGUCCUUGUAUAAGGUUAAAUAGCAAUUNNNNNNNNNNUAUCUCCGUUGUGGUGUUUGCGUAAGUAAGAUUCGAUCCUACUAGAUACCCAUGGUCACCACGUAAAACAUGCAACAAUAAAAUUAGAGGACGUCUAACUUGUUUUUGCAGGGUAUGCUUGCGAUGUGAUAUAUUGGAUGUAUGAAAUGAUCAUGUUGUAAUAGAUAAUAUCGACUUGCACGUCAAUGGUACGGCAACCGGCAGGAGCCAUAGGGUUGUCUUUAAACUAACGUUUGUGCUUGCAGAUGCGUUUACUAUUUUGCUAGGAUGUAGCUUUAGUAGUAAUAGCAUGAGUAGCACGACAACCCCGAUGGCGACACGUUGAUGGAGAUCAUGAUGAUGGAGAUCAUGGUGUGACGCCGGUGACAAGAAGAUCGUGCCGGUGCUUUGGUGAUGGAGAUCAAGAAGCACGUGAUGAUGGCCAUAUCAUGUCACUUAUGAAUUGCAUGUGAUGUUAAUCCUUUUUUGCACCUUAUGUUGCUUAGAACGACGGUAGCAUUAUGAGGUGAUCUCUCACUAAAAUUUCAAGAUGAAAUUGUGUUCUCCCCGACUGUGCACCGUUGCGACAGUUCUUCGUUUCGAGACACCACGUGAUGAUCUGGUGUGAUAGACUCAACGUUCACAUACAACGGGUGCAAAACAGUUGCACACGCGGAACACUCGGGUUAAGCUUGACGAGCCUAGCAUGUGCAGACAUGGCCUCGGAACACAUGAGACCGAAAGGUCGAGCAUGAAUUGUAUAGUUGAUUUGAUUAGCAUAGAGAUGCUUACCACUGAAACUAUUCUCAACUCACGUGAUGAUCGGACUUGAGAUAGUGGAUUUGGAUCAUGUACCACUCAAAUGACUAGAGAGAUGUACUUUUUGAGUGGGAGUUCUUAAGUAAUAUGAUUAAUUGAAGUAAUUUUCAUGAACAUAGUCUAAUGGUCUUUUCGAAUUACGAUGUAGCUUGCACUAUAGCUCUACUGUUUUUAUAUGUUCCUAGAGAAAAUUUAGUUGAAAGUUGAUAGUAGCAAACUUUGCAGAGGAUUGUCCUCGUUGCUGCGCAGAAGGCUUAUGUCCUUAAUGCACCACUCGGUGUGCUGCACCUCGAGCGUCGUCUGUGGAUGCUGUGAACAUCGGACAUACACGUUUCUGAUGACUACACGAUAGUUCAGUGCAAAAUACUUAAUGGCUUAGAAGCAAGGCGCCGAAGACAUUUUGAAACAUCACGGAACAUAAGUGAUAUUCUAAAGAGAUGAAAUUGUGAUUUCAUGCUUGUGCCCUUGUUCAGAGGUACGAGACCUCCGACAAGAUUCUUUGUCCAUAGAGUAAAGGAGAAAAGCUCAAUCGUUGAGCGUGCGCUCAGAUUGUCUGAGUACGACAAUUGCUUGAAUCAAGUGGGAGUUAAUCUUCCAGAUGAGAUAGUGAUGGUUCUCCAAAGUCACUGCCACCAAGCUGUGAGAGCUUCGUGAUGAACUAUAACAUAUCAAGGAUGGAUACAAUGAUCCUUGAGCGAUUCGCGAUGUUUGACACUGCGAAAGUAGAAAUCAAGAAGGAGCAUCAAUAGUUGAUGGUUUGUAAAACCACUAAGUUUCAAGAAAGGCAAGGGCUAGAAGGGAUACUUCGUGAAACGGCAAAACAGUUGUGCACUAAUGAAGAGACCCAAGAUUAAACCCAAACCCGAGACUAAGUGCUUCUGUAAUGAGGGGAACAGUCACUGAGGCGGAGCAACUCUAGAUACUUGGUAGACAAGAAGGCUGGCAAAAGUCGAAAGAAGUAUAUUUGAUAUACAUGAUGUUGAUGUGUACUUUACUAGUACUCCUAGUAGCAUGAGGGUAUUGGAUACCGGUUCGGUUGCUAAGUGAUUAGUAACACGAAAUGAAAGCUAUGGCAUAAAUGGAGACUAGCUAAAGGCGAGGUGACGAUACGUGUUGGAAGUGUUUCCAAGAUUGAUAUGAUCAAAACGUCGCGCGCUCCCUCUACCAUCGGGAUUGGUGUUAAACCGAAAUAAUUGUUAUUUGGUGCUUGCGUUAAGCAUGAACAUGAUUGGAUCUUGUUUAUUGCAAUACGAUUAUUCAUUUAAAGAUAAUAAUGGUUACUCUAUUUUCCUUGAAUAAUCACCUUCAAUGAUUUAUUGAGUCUCGAUCGUAGUGUUACACAUGUUCAUGAUAUUGGUGUCAAAAGAUACGAGGUAAUGAUGUUAGUACCACUUACUUGUGGCACUGCCGCUUGAGUCAUGUUAGUAUAAAUUGCAUGAAGAGGCUCCAUGCUAAUGGAUCUUUAUAUUCACUUGAUUUUGAAUCACUAGUGACAUGCUAAUCAUACCACAUGAGCAAGGCCUUGUUUUGAUUGAGAUGAAUCAAGAUAGUAACUUGUUGGAAGUGAUACAUUUUGAUGUAUGCAGUCCAAUGGGUGCUGAGGCACGCAGUGAAUAUCAUUAUGUUCUUACUUCAAUGACGAUUUAAGUAGAUACAAGAGUAUUUACUUAAUGAAUCACAAGUCUGAAAUAUUGAAAAGUUCAAUUCUGUUUCAGAGUGAAGUUCGUCGUAACAAGAGGAUAAACUGUCUACGAUAUGAUCAUAGAAAUGAAUAUCUGAGUUACGAGUUUUGGUACGCAGUUAANNNNNNNNNNNNNNNNNNNNNNNNNNNNNNNNNNNNNNNNNNNNNNNNNNNNNNNNNNNNNNNNNNNNNNNNNNNNNNNNNNNNNNNNNNNNNNNNNNNNCGACCACAUACCUCCACGGUUUUACCUCUAGAUCGCGUCUCUGCGGAGCUCGGGCGGAGCCCUGCCGAGAUUAGAUCAUCACCAACCUCCGGAGCGCCGUCACGCUGCCGGAGAACUCAUCUACCUCUCCGUCUCUCUUGCUGGAUCAAGAAGGCCGAGAUCAUCGUCGAGCUGUACGUGUGCUGAACGCGGAGGUGCCGUCCGUUCGGCACUAGAUCGUGGGACGGAUCGCGGGACGGUUUGUGGGACGGUUCGUGGGACGGUUCGAGUGGCGGAUCGAGGGACGUGAGGACGUUCCACUACAUCAACCGCGUUCACUAACGCUUCUGCUGUGCGAUCUACAAGGGUACGUAGAUCGGAAAUCCCCUCUCGUAGAUGGACAUCACCAUGAUAGGUCUUCGUGCGCGUAGGAAAUUUUUUGUUUCCCAUGCGACGUUCCCCAUCAGAAGGGCCUAUCUUGUACCUUUACUUUUUGCCCUUAUAAGAGUCAUGGUGAUCAUCACCAAUUCCCUUUUUGCCUUUUUCUUGGCUACCCGUCACAUGCUUGGGAAAGAUCUAUAUUCAUAUAUCAACUUGGAGUUGAGUACUUAUGCUUUAUUGUUGUUGACUUUACCUUUGAGGUAAAUGGUUGGGAGGCAAAACUAUAAGCCCCUAUCUUCCUCUGUGUCCAGUUAAAACUUUGACACCAUGAGUACCACGUGAGUUGUAACAAUUGUGGAAAACAAAAGAGAUGAUUGAGUAUGUGGGUUUGCCUUACAAGCUCUUAUUUGACUCUUUCUGAUGUUGUGAUAAAUUGCAAUUGCUUCAAUGGCUAUGGUUUAUUGUUGGUUACUUCUCGGUAAGGUUUUUUGCUUCAUGGUUUGCUUUGUGAAGGAAUUGUUACUUUCCCAUAAGAAUCUUUAUGAUGUAUUGUUGUUCUAUGUGUGAUCAUGAUGCCCUCAUGUCCGUAUUAUGUUUUAUCGACACCUUCGUCCCUCAACAUGUGGACAUGUUUAUGGAACUUGGUUUUCGCUUGAGGACAAGCGAGGUAUAAGCUCGGGGGAGUUGAUACGCCCAUUUUGCAUCAUGCUUUCAUGUUGAUAUUUAUUGCUUUUUGGGCUGUUAUAUUACUUGUGGUACCAUAUUUAUGCUUUUUCUCUCUUAUUUUGCAAGUUUUAUUUGAAGAGGGAGAAUUCACGCAGCUGGAAUUCUGGACUGGAAAAGGAGCAAAUCCUAGUCCACUAUUCUGCACAUCUACAAAUGCCCUGAAAAGUUACGUGGAUUUUUUUGGGAUUAUAUAAAAAAUACUGGGCGAAAGAACUACCGGAGGGGGGCUGCCAAGGCGCCACAAGCCCUAAUACCGCCACCCCCUGGUGGCGGAGUGGGGGCUUGUGGGCUCCCUGACAGCCCACUAGCCCCCUCUUUUGCUAUAUGAAUCAUCCUGGUCCAGAAAAAAAAAUCAGAGGGGAGCUUUUUCGUGGUUUCGCCGCCACCACGAGGCGGAACUUUAGCAGAUCCAAUCUAAAGCUCCGGCAGGACGAUCCUGCCGGGGAAACUUCCCUCCCGGAGGGGGAAAUCGUCGCCAUCGUCAUCACCAACACUCCUCUCGUCGGAUGGGAGGCAUGUUCAUCAACAUCUUCAUCAGCACCAUCUCCUCUCCAAUCCCUAGUUCAUCUCUUGUAACCAAUCUUCGUCUUGCAACUCCGAUUGGUACUUGUAAGGUUGCUAGUAGUGUUGACUACUCUUUGUAGUUGAUGCUAGUUGGAUUACUUGGUGAAAGAGUUUAUGUUCAGAUCCUUGAUGCUAUUCAUUACACCUCUGAUCAUGAUUAUGAUUAUGUUUUGUGAGUAGUUACUUUUGUUCCUGAGGACAUGGGAUAAGUCAUGUUAAUAAUAGUCAUGUGAAUUUGAUAUCCGUUCGGUAUUUUGAUAUGUUGUAUGUUGUUUUUCCUCUAGUGUGUUAUGUGAACAUCGACUACAUAACACUUCACCAUAUUUGGGCCUAGAGGAAGGCAUUGGGGAGUAGUAAGUAGAUGAUGGGUUGCUGGAGUGACAGAAGCUAAAACCCCAGUCUAUGCGUUGCUUCGUGAGGGGAUGAUUUGGAUCCACUAGUUUAAUGCUAUGGUUAGACUUUGUCUUAAUUNNNNNNNNNNCGAGAGAGGUUAAUCAUAACUGGGAUGCUUGUCCAAGUAAGGGCAACACCCAAGCGCCGGUCCACCCACAUAUCAAACUAUCAAAGUAACGAACGCGAAUCAUAUGAACAUGAUGAAACUAGCAUGACAGAAAUUCCCGUGUGUCCUCGGGAGCGUUUUUCCUCCUAUAAGACUUUGUUCAGGCUUGUCCCUUGCUACAAAAGGGAUUGGGCCACUUGCUGCACCGUCGCUACUACUUGUUUCUUGUUACUUUUUGCUUGCUACGUUUCACCUGCUAGACAAUCACUUGUUACCGCUACUUUCAGUGCUUGCAGUUAUUACCUUGCUGAAAUCCGUUUAUCAGAGCCUUCUGCUCCUUGUUGGGUUCGACAGUAUUACUUAUCGAAAGGACUACGAUUGAUCCCCUAUACUUGUGGAUCGUCAACCAGCGCCGGCGUCGUUCUACUGCUCCAACUCGACGACAACUCAAAUGAAACACUAUCAUGUUUCAAGUAUGAACAUCCUCAUCGGUGUCUAUUACUGUAAUAUAGUAAGAUGCAAUAUUUUACAUUAAAAGUGAGUCAACCAUGUGACUUUGGUCCACGGACUAGUAAAGAUCCAUUUUUGGUUCAUACCCUAUACGAUUCACCGGCCUAUUGCCUCAUUUGAAACUAGUGUGCUUAACUAUUCCUACUAGGUGAACCACAUUGCCUCAUUUGAAACUAGUGUGCUUAACUAUUCCUACUAGGUGAACCAAUUGACUCACCGGCCCAUUGCCUCUUUUGACCCUCUCAUAUAGCUUCCAAUAUAUUAAACAUAUAACGCUGACCUGUCAUAUUGUGUCUUUGUCACGCCACGACUCCUUAAUCGCUCUAUGCACCUGGACCGAUCGAGAGAGCAGUACCGAUCAAUUUCGUGUCCUGCGACCAAACGACGCUGAGCGUGGAGCAACCUGUGCUACGACACCUCGAGAAACGCGAGGAAAUAGACUAAUUUGUAAUUACUAAGUUGGCUGCAGUGUGACUAUAAGUACUAGGCAGUUUAUCCACUUUUGACAGAACAGUCCCUAAUGUAUUAUCCAGGGACCCGUUCUCGAGGGACGGUUAGUAACAGGGGCCAAAGUGGAAGAACAGAAUAGCCCCUAAGGUAUUAUCCAGGGACCCGUUUGCGAGGGACGGUUAGUAACAGGGACCAAAGUGGAAGAACAGAAUAGCCCCGAAGGUAUUAUUCAGGGACCCGUUUGCGAGGGACGGUUAGCACCGGGGGGGUAAAGUGGAAGAAGGGCGUAUGCGUGGCAUGGCACACCACAUCUCCACGAACGAUCAUCGGUUGGAGAGAAGAAGAAAAAAAAAAGGAUCAUCGGUCGCUGACAGACACCACCACACCGCGCGGGGGGAGAAGAGAAAACAACGGUCGCUCGAUCUCGCCGGAAUCGAUCCCCGCCGGCGACGGCGACGCCCCUCCUCGCCGGAUCCAGCUCCGCCGCCCCAGAUCCGGCGCCCCCCUCCCUCCUCCGUAGAGGCCCGCGGCAGCUCGUCUCGGUGCCGCGCCGCGCCGUCGGAGAAGCCUCCUCCGGCGUCCCGCGGCACCGCCGACUCGGGGGGAGCCUCCCCACGGGGACCAGCUCCGGCGUCGUUCUACUGCUCCAACUCGACGACGCCAUCGCCUAGGG
rnacentral:lncRNA from 1 species